rnacentral:rRNA from 1 species
CUAGGAUGAACGCUGGCGGUGUGCCUAAUACAUGCAAGUCGAUCGGGCGUAGCAAUACGUCAGAGGCGUACGGGUGAGUAACACGUAGGUAACCUACCUUUAAGACUGGGAUACCCAGACGAAAGUUUGGCUAAUACCGGAUAACAACAUUUGAGACAUCUCUUUUGUUUGAAAGGCGCUGCAAGGCGCCACUUUUAGAUGGACCUGCGUCGCAUUAGCUAGUUGGUGAGAUAAAAGCCCACCAAGGCUGGGAUGCGUAGCCGAUCUGAGAGGAUGACCGGCCACAAUGGGACUGAGACACGGCCCAUACUCCUACGGGAGGCAGCAGUAGGGAGUUUUCGGCAAUGGGGGAAACCCUGACCGAGCAACACCGCGUGAGUGAUGAAGGUCUUCGGAUCGUAAAGCUCUGUUACGAGGGACGAAUGAUCGCUUUAGGAAAUGAGAGCGGUUUGACGGUACCUCGCCAGAAAGCGACGGCUAACUACGUGCCAGCCGCCGC